UCGAUCGCGAUCUUCCAUGCAGUUGUCUCUUGGUCGAUCACAGUAACAGACGUCUCUUGAACUCGCAAUUUACCUAGGCACGUACGAUUAGGCGAGGAAAUUAAUCAUAUCUAAUUCUAUUCUUCUUAAGAAAAGAAAUCUAUCAGAGCUUGAGAAAGAGAUAUUAUAUUGAUUGUAACUGCUAGAAAUUUCGUCAGAAGAACACACGAGACGAUGGGUUUCAAAAUAAACUUCUUAUUCAUACUUAUUGUCCUUCACAUGUUUAGCAUGGGAUACCUAUGUCCUUCAAAAAAGAAAGAAGCUCCGCCUCGUAAAGUGAUACCUAAAUAUUGUAACAUGCCUCAUGACUCUGGUACUUGCCUCACGGAUGAGAUAAUAAUGCGAGAAGGAUUUCAGUGGAGAUAUUGGUUUUCGACAAAAUUGAAAGAAUGUCAUCCUUUCAGGUAUGGAGGCUGCGGAGGAAAUCACAAUAGUUUUAUGACUUAUGAAG